UUUUGUAUAAUGGGUCAGCGACUUAUAUUCUGUAGCAAGGUUAACCGAAUAGGGGAGCCGAAGGGAAACCGAGUCUUAACUGGGCGUUAAGUUGCAGGGUAUAGACCCGAAACCCGGUGAUCUAGCCAUGGGCAGGUUGAAGGUUGGGUAACACUAACUGGAGGACCGAACCGACUAAUGUUGAAAAAUUAGCGGAUGACUUGUGGCUGGGGGUGAAAGGCCAAUCAAACCGGGAGAUAGCUGGUUCUCCCCGAAAGCUAUUUAGGUAGCGCCUCGUGAAUUCAUCUCCGGGGGUAGAGCACUGUUUCGGCAAGGGGGUCAUCCCGACUUACCAACCCGAUGCAAACUGCGAAUACCGGAGAAUGUUAUCACGGGAGACACACGGCGGGUGCUAACGUCCGU
rnacentral:rRNA from 1 species